AUUUUAGGAAGAGGAGUUAAAUUUUAUUUCUGUGGUGAAUGCCUCACAGCUUCAUUAGUAGGGAAAUAAUAUUCAUUGCAGGAAUAUGUCUUUUACAGCAUUAAUGAAAUAAUUUCAAGGGGAGUGUUCCCUUCAAAUCAAAUGCCUCAGGCAUGAGAAACAUAAGGAGUAGGAUGAUCUAGUGGAAUGGAGAAAAUGUGAAAGAAGGAAAAAAAUUGACUACAGAAGAUGUGACAGGUUUAGUUAUAUUUGAGGAUACAGAGAAGAUCAAAGCCGAAGAGAUAAAAGCAGCAACUACUGAAUGGACUGAAAAUAUCUUCUGAAUCAUAAACACCCUUAAGUUCAGUGCUUCAGAAAUAGCCACCUUUCAGUCAGGAGAGAGUCACCGCUGAAAUGGAAGUCCUCUAGUUACAGUAUUUUAUGGCUUGCUUUGCUGCCCCUGGCUAGCCCUGCAUUUACACAGGCACCGAAAUGUCUGAGAUCAUUCACA